rnacentral:rRNA from 1 species
UACGUAGGGGGCUAGCGUUGUCCGGAUUUAUUGGGCGUAAAGAGCGUGUAGGCGGCCAGGUAGGUCUGCUGUGAAAACUCGAGGCUCAACCUCGAGACGUCGGCGGAAACCAUCUGGCUAGAGUCCGGAAGAGGAGAGUGGGAAUUCCUGGUGUAGCGGUGAAAUGCGCAGAUAUCAGGAAGAACACCCGUGGCGAAGGCGGCGUCUCUGGGACGGUACUGACGCUGAGACGCGAAAGCGUGGGGAGCGAACAGG